rnacentral:rRNA from 1 species
CGGCACGGGUGAGUAACACGUGAGCAACCUACCUUCGAGUUGGGGAUAGCCCUGGGAAACCAGGAUUAAUACCCGAUGUGGUCACCACCAGGCAUUUGGAGGUGAGUAAAGGCGUAAGCCGCUCGAUGACGGGCUCGCGGCCUAUUAGCUUGUUGGUGGGGUGAUGGCCUACCAAGGCGACGACGGGUAGCCGGCCUGAGAGGGCGACCGGCCACACUGGGACUGAGACACGGCCCAG